GCAGAAAGGGGGGCACUCCCUGAGUACAGCGGCGCACGGGUGAGUAACACGUGGGUAAUCUGCCCUGGAGUGGGGAAUACACCGGGAAACCGGUGCUAAUACCGCAUACGAUCACGAGGUCUGCGGAUUUCGUGAUGAAAGGAGCAAUUCGCUCCAGGAGGAGCCCGCGGCUGAUUAGCUCGUUGGUGGGGUAAUGGCCCACCAAGGCUACGAUCAGUAUCCGGUCUGAGAGGACGGUCGGACACACUGGAACUGAGACACGGUCCAGACUCCUACGGGAGGCAGCAGUGGGGAAUUUUUCGCAAUGGGGGAAACCCUGACGAAGCAACGCCGCGUGGGUGAUGAAGUCUCUUGGGACGUAAAACCCUUUCGACGGGGAAGAAACCGCAAGGUUGACGGUACCCGUAGAAGAAGCCCCGGCUAACUCCGUGCCAGCAGCCGCGGUAAU
rnacentral:rRNA from 1 species